rnacentral:rRNA from 1 species
ACUCCUACGGGAGGCAGCAGGAGGGAAUAUUGGUCAAUGGGCGAAAGCCUGAACCAGCCAUGCCGCGUGUCAGAUGAAGGUCCUCUGGAUUGUAAAUGACUUUUCUACGGGAAGAAUGAGCCGUCUGCGGACGGAAGUUGACGGUACCGUAGGAAUAAGCACCGGCUAACUACGUGCCAGCAGCCGCGGUAAUACGUAGGGGUGCAAGCGUUGUCCGGAUUUACUGGGUUUAAAGGGUACGUAGGCGGUUGUGCCAAGUCUGGGGUGAAAGUUUGCAGCUCAACUGUAAAAUUGCCUUGGAUACUGGUCGGCUAGAGUAGUGGAGCGGUGGCUGGAAUUUAUAGUGUAGCGGUGAAAUGCUUAGAUACUAUGAGGAACACCAAUUGCGAAGGCAGGUCACUGGUCACUAACUGACGCUGAGGUACGAAAGUGUGGGGAUCAAACA